rnacentral:rRNA from 1 species
CGGAGGGUGCAAGCGUUAUCCGGAAUCAUUGGGUUUAAAGGGUCCGCAGGCGGUCUUAUAAGUCAGUGGUGAAAGCCUACAGCUCAACUGUAGAACUGCCAUUGAUACUGUAAGACUUGAAUUCGAUCGAAGUGGGCGGAAUAUGACAUGUAGCGGUGAAAUGCUUAGAUAUGUCAUAGAACACCGAUAGCGAAGGCAGCUCACUAGGUCUGGAUUGACGCUCAGGGACGAAAGCGUGGGGAGCAAACAGGAUUAGAUACCCUGGUAGUCCACGCCGUAAACUAUCAAUACUCGUUCUCAGCCCUUCAGGGGUUGGGGACCAAGCGAAAGUGAUAAGUAUUGCACCUGGGGAGUACGAUCGCAAGGUUG